AGCAGUCGCCGCGGGAAAACGGAGGGUGCAAGCGUUAUCCGGAUUUAUUGGGUUUAAAGGGUCCGUAGGCGGAUCUGUAAGUCAGUGGUGAAAUCUCACAGCUUAACUGUGAAACUGCCAUUGAUACUGCAGGUCUUGAGUAAAUUUGAAGUGGCUGGAAUAAGUAGUGUAGCGGUGAAAUGCAUAGAUAUUACUUAGAACACCAAUUGCGAAGGCAGGUCACUAAGAUUUAACUGACGCUGAUGGACGAAAGCGUGGGGAGCGAACAGGAUUAGAUACCCGAGUAGUCCCUGUCUCUUAUAA
rnacentral:rRNA from 1 species